UUCUGCUAUUGCCUUUUGGUCAAGCUAAUGAGAUUGGCCUGAACUCUAUAUUUGCUUCUGUCUGCAACAUUUGUAGAGAAAUAUGGUUGUAAAUCAGGUUGUUGGUUUUCACACCACCCUGGCAGCCAACCAUGUUGUAAUGGCUUGUGGAGAGGAAUAAUGAAUCUGUGGAACAAUUGGCAGAACUUUCUGGAUUUUGGAUUGAUGUGCUGCAUGGAAUGCCUGGAAAGAGCAGAGCACUAAAAAUGUCAACCUCACAGAUGAAGACUAUAUGGUUGAUAAAUUUCGUUUCAGACGAACUGGGAGGAUAAGAAGGUCUCUAGAACAGCCACAGAUAGAAAAUUAGCAGUCAUGUCUCUAUUUAUGUUCCUGUCACUGGGUAAUGAGAAUUUGCUUGGUAGGUUAUUGAGCACCAAGACUCAAAAAAUUGUCUUUUUCAUUAUGAAUGUUGCUCGGGAAGAAUAAAUAUUUAAUUACACAGUGACUUUUUGAUGUGAAAGACUGGAGAGAAUGUGGGUCAUAUUUUGUUGCACUGCACAAUUGGUUUAGAACUUCGGAGACUUUAAUUCGGCCUGGUUGGAUUAUGCCACCUAUUUUUUGUAAGCAAUUGGAUUGAAGGUUUAUUCAAGGGUGAUGAAAGAAUGUUGAGAGGGGCAGGUCAUUUCUUGAUGUCGUCGUUACAGAAGGAGAGAAGCUGAAGGGUGUUUGAAGGUACUGAGAAUCUGUUGUGGAUGAUCAGUAGCACUUUUUUGUAUUUCUUUUUGCAGCUGUCAGUAUAUUUCAGUUUGCCUAUAUUCCUGGAUGGAUCCCUUUGCUAGUUUUCUUCAUAGUGAGGUACCUGGUAUACUAAUUAUUGUACCAUUUCGUGCACGGUUGUUCUGAAUGUUAUAUUUUCUCUAAUCUGGCUUGUCUUCAUGGACGAUUUGUAUUUUCUCUUUGAUGACAAUGUAUAUUAGAUGAAUUGAAUUUGUUCA